rnacentral:rRNA from 1 species
CGCGUAGGCGGUUCGACAAGUUGGAUGUGAAAGCCCAGGGCUCAACCCUGGAAUUGCAUUCAAAACUGUCUUACUUGAAUUCGGUAGAGGUUGGUGGAAUUCCCCAGUGUAGAGGUGAAAUUCGUAGAUAUUGGGAAGAAUAUCCGUGGCGAAGGCGGCCAACUGGACCGACAUUGACGCUGAGGCGCGAAAGCGUGGGGAGCAAACAG